rnacentral:rRNA from 1 species
CCUACGGGUAGCAGCAGUGGGGAAUAUUGGACAAUGGGGGGAACCCUGAUCCAGCCAUGCCGCGUGUGUGAAGAAGGCCCUCGGGUUGUAAAGCACUUUCAGUGAGGAAGAACGCCUGGUGGUUAAUACCCAUCAGGAAAGACAUCACUCACAGAAGAAGCACCGGCUAACUCCGUGCCAGCAGCCGCGGUAAUACGGAGGGUGCGAGCGUUAAUCGGAAUUACUGGGCGUAAAGCGCGCGUAGGUGGCUUGAUAAGCCGGUUGUGAAAGCCCCGGGCUCAACCUGGGAACGGCAUCCGGAACUGUCAAGCUAGAGUGCAGGAGAGGAAGGUAGAAUUCCCGGUGUAGCGGUGAAAUGCGUAGAGAUCGGGAGGAAGACCAGUGGCGAAGGCGGCCUUCUGGACUGACACUGACACUGAGGUGCGAAAGCGUGGGUAGCAAACAGGAUUAGAUACCCUAGUAGUC